rnacentral:rRNA from 1 species
GCAGUUGAUACUGGCAGUCUUGAGUGCAGUAGAGGUGGGCGGAAUUCGUGGUGUAGCGGUGAAAUGCUUAGAUAUCACGAAGAACUCCGAUUGCGAAGGCAGCUCACUGGAGUGUAACUGACGCUGAUGCUCGAAAGUGUGGGUAUCAAACAGGAUUAGAUACCCUGGUAGUCCACACAGUAAACGAUGAAUACUCGCUGUUUGCGAUAUACAGUAAGCGGCCAAGCGAAAGCAUUAAGUAUUCCACCUGGGGAGUACGCCGGCAACGGUGAAACUCAAAGGAAUUGACGGGGGCCCGCACAAGCGGAGGAACAUGUGGUUUAAUUCGAUGAUACGCGAGGAACCUUACCCGGGCUUAAAUUGCAAAUGAAUUAUGGGGAAACCCAUACGCCGCAAGGCAUUUGUGAAGGUGCUGCAUGGUUGUCGUCAGCUCGUGCCGUGAGGUGUCGGCUUAAGUGCCAUAACGAGCGCAACCCUUAUCUUCAGUUACUAACAGGUCAUGCUGAGGACUCUGGAGAGACUGCCGUCGUAAGAUGUGAGGAAGGUGGGGAUGACGUCAAAUCAGCACGGCCCUUACGUCCGGGGCUACACACGUGUUACAAUGGGGGGUACAGAAGGCCGCUACCUGGUGACAGGAUGCCAAUCCCAAAAACCUCUCUCAGUUCGGAUCGAAGUCUGCAACCCGACUUCGUGAAGCUGGAUUCGCUAGUAAUCGCGCAUCAGCCAUGGCGCGGUGAAUACGUUCCCGGGCCUUGUACACGCCGCCCGUCAAGCCAUGAAAGCCGGGGGUACCUGAAGUACGUA